rnacentral:tRNA from 1 species
AUUCAUAUAGUUUUAAUAUAAAACAUUUUACUUUCAUUAAAAAGAAAUUAUGCUAAUGAUUAUGAAUG